CAGACUUCUGGAAGCAUCUACAAGUCAACGACCCAAGUCCUUGGCUGACUUUUACGCCCGGGCCGAAGCAUACAAGAACGUGGAACAACCCUUGGCUGAAAGCGAGAAGAAUAAAUCUCAAAGUCCUUCAAAGAUCAAGAAGAGGAGACGAGAACAAUCUUCCAGCCCGGAACAUAGAAGCAGACAUCAAGAUCCAAGCAGAGACAAUACUACCUAUAGAAGAAACUAGACACCACCUUGGGACUAUGAUGGAAGAUCUAAUCAUUGGGCACCUUUGGUUGCGUCAAUAGAGCACAUCUUUAAAGCCAACUGCAACAAAGGACUCUUCCGAAGACCAGCGCCAUUGUUUUCUUGGUAGAUGAGGGAAGUUCAU
rnacentral:lncRNA from 1 species